rnacentral:lncRNA from 1 species
AGGGCUCCGAAUGGAGUUUUGUAAAGUAUAAGGGUUUGAUCUAAUUUGACCCUCCGUAAACCUAAUUGUUAGGUAAACGAACGCGUUGGCGAAGUCGGUUCGGCGAUUCGUCGAGCCGUUGCGAAGUUAUUAAAGAAACGGACGUUUAGGCUUCGUUUCCGCCUGGAGGGCCGAGGCGACAUCGUAUACUCAUGAAAAUGGAUUUCAAGCAUCGUGGCACAUAACCGAAGAACUUAAAUUUUCGGAUCGUGAAUUAGAGGCCGUUCGGGUGGUCGCGCGAGAGAUCGGGCCAAAUCGGGUGCCGGGUGCCGCGGGAGGCCGAUUGCAAGUGUCGAUAAGCAAUCGGAAUGCGAAAUGAGGUGGGUUGUGCUCACCGAAGCGACUAGGUCGCCUAUAUGUCUAAGAGUAAUGGUUUUCUAAUUGAUGCAUAUUGUUGAUGUUACUUACUGUUGAGAUAAAAUGCAUAAUGACAUAUAAUGUGUUAAAUGCUAGAUGAAUGCAUGAGUUAAUUGUCACAUGAAUGCAUGAAAAUAAUGUUAUAGUAAUAUGUUAGAGGUAAUAUGCAUGUUGAUAAAUUAUGGAACAUGUUGGAUGGCAUAUAAAUGGUUGGUAUAUAUAUGUAGACAUAUUGUGGAAUAUGAUAAAUGAGUGCAUGUUGAUUUAGUGUAGAAUAUACUAGAUGAAUGUAUAUUGACAUAUUGUGGAUUAUGUUAAAUGACACAUGCAUGUUGAACUUAGGUCGAUAAACUCUAGGUGAAUUAGAGAACUCGACAUUGGAAAAUAAUGACAUAUGAACUAUGAUAUGUGACGUGGACAAUCUAUAUAUAUUAGAUCGAGUGGCAUAUGAUUAGUAUAGUGGAAACACUUAUGGUAUAUUGAACACUUAGAAAAUAAGUGUAGCAUGAGUCCAAGAAUAUAGUAGUGUAUGUGACGCCAGUGAUAGUAAAAAAUGUAAAGAAAAGAAUGAUUGAAAUAUUAUGACAUUUCAACCCUAGAGUUAGGGUCAUUUGAGCAUAGUCUUCCUAAAGUUAAGGAAUGGAUUGAACUUGACAUCCUUAAGAUUUUGGAUUUGAUCAUUGAUCAUACUCACCUUUAGUCCUUGCUCGAGGUUGUGAUAGCUCCCCCUCGGGCGAUGUGCUCCGGAGUCGACAUCACUAGGUUGUAGCUUGUAUCUCCCCAGAGGACGGUCCUACCGGGUUGUAGCGGGUAGCAGGAUUAAAGUAGUAUCGAUUGAAUUACUAAUUGGUUGCAUAAAUCGCAUGAUUUUCAUAUUGCAUGGUUGUGAGGCAUGACAUGUAUUUCAAUUAUCGCAUAUAUAUAUAUAUCUGUUCGAUAUUUGUUGGACUAACAUGUUGCAGUGCCUCCUUGGACCUAUGGGUCGAGCUCUUCCCUUGGGUGGCUGUACCCACUGGGAACUAUAUUUAUAUCGUUCUCACCCUCGUGUUGUUUUUGGGGGUACAGGUUUCCACGUGAGCGGCGCGGCGGCGCGAGGCGAGGGCGUAGCUCCAUAGUUAACGCCCUACCACCGAGACCAGAGAUAGCGGUACCCUGAGUCGGCUUUGCUUAGGGAUGUAAAGAAUAAAAAGAAUCAAGUUGUAAUAAUCAUGUUAAAUCAGAUUGUAUUUGGAAGUUAAGUGAAAGCUAGUGUAAGAAUCAAAUGAGAAUUGUGAUGUAAAAAUAUAUGAAUGUGAAUGCAUGUAAUAACAUAGGAUGUGUUAUGUUGUUUGAUACCUUCCAUUAUGCAAUCUUUGAUUGAAAUGUGUUCCUGGUUGGAACUUUGUAUAUUGUAUUGAUUGCGACGCCUUAAAUGUACAGGAGAGACUCUGUCCGUUGUACAGGAGAAACCCUGUCCGUUCGGCGGUCUGUCGGCGGCGCCGCGACCUGGCCGAUAAGAUGGUAUCAGAGCAUGAGCAUAAAAAGAAUAUAAAAAGAAUAAUAGAAAAUGGUUUAGUUUGACCUAAGAGACCCUAGGAUAGUAAACCAUAGGAGAUUAAGGCUCGUGAGAGACGAGGACUUGUGACUUUUGGCGAAAGGUUAAUCGAUUGGGUUGUGUCGUAAACCUCUAAAAUGGAUGUUAGAGGUAAAUUCAAGGUGUGGUUUAUUCUCAACCGAUGGUGUUCGUGUCGGGCGCGCACAACAUGAAACCGAGUGAUGAGAAUAGACGCCCUUGCGUGACUUUCGCCCGAUUUGAGUCGGUAUUAAGUGUCUCGUAUUCGAUCUAGAAGGUCGAGGAUUAAUAGAGUUGUCGCGUUUUAGGAAACAACAGCACUGCGUAGGCGAUCUUUGUUUAGAUCGGCGCGGGAUGGCCAAGUGGUGUCCCUGGGCAAUUUGAGACGAGCGGAGACUUGAGACUUCGCGAGCGAUUGGCCACUCUCGUGUGUGUGGCGGGGUAAUGAGCCGAAUUAGUGCAGUGUCAGUAGAAGGCUACCAUACGCCGGGAGGAGCGAGUUAAGAGACUCCAAGAGUUGGGGGAUCAGUAGUGAUCGCACCAGUUCCGGCUCGUUAAGUACGGCCGGGAGUCGCGACGAAGGUGUGGUGGACAGGCAUCGAGUGGAAUCGACUGCCUGGUCUCCCUCCUGUGGUUUGGGAUGAGUUUCGGGGAUCGGUAUUCUCUGUUUACUCCCCUGAUGAUGGAAAAGAAAGCUUCAGGAAAGGUUCUCGAAGCUACGGCAGGUAGAUCGCGCCGUGAGGGAAUACGAGCGGGAAUUCUUCUGUGUCGUGAAUUGCAUCCUGGACAUAGUGCGGGAUAAUGAGAACGAAACUCCUUUUAGGAGGGGAGAAUGUAACGUUCCGAAAUUUCGGUAAAUAAAUAUCAAACUUUAGUCAAAUUGACCAAAGUGCGUCGAGAGAAAUAGUUGGACAAAGUCCAAUUGACAUUCCAACGAUGUUGGAAGGGUUAAAAAUGAGUUUCAAAGGAGGUAGGAAGGUUUUAGUAUCGACCGGCGCGAAAUAGAAUCGAAAACGGCUCAAAACCAGCAUUCUGGGCAAAGUGUACCGGUACAACCAUCAUGUUGUCACCGGUACAGCCCUGCAGCCCGAGAAGAGCAUUGCUCUCGGGUUUGAGUUUUCGCAGAAGUGUACCGGUACACCUCUGGUUUGUACCGGUACACUUUGGUAAAAUCCGAGGAGGUUGCUCUCGGGUUUGCCUCUGCACAGCUUUGUACCGGUACAAAAGCCCGUCUACCGGUACACAAUGGGUCUGACAGCAGGUUGAGGUCUGCUGCAAAUGAGAAAUGUUGGGGGGUUUAAAUUCAGUUGUGGCGGUUUGUGUAAACCCCACACAUCUUCUUUCCUUGUUCACAGCAAGGAGUACCCCUUCAACUCCAUGUUCUUUCUUCUCUCACUCUCCAGGAGCUUUUCUAAAGAGGAGGAUUAGAGGAGCUUUGAGAAUUAGGCCUUGUGGAUUGAACAAGGCAGUGCAAUUGUGCGAAGGGAGCGUGAGUCCAUUCGCAAGGAAAAAGAAAAUAGGACGGCCAACGAGUGGAUUCGGUGGUCCGUCAAGUUUUCAACUGAGUGCAAUGUGUUCGCGCUCGUGAUCCCGAGUUUCGGGGACCUACUGUAUUUGGUCCUUGGUGAGAUGUGUUGUUUGUGGGUGUUUUCGUUACCCACAGUAUUGCGAGAUGUGAGAAGGCAAGUGCUACAGGUGUGGGCAACCGGACUGUGCGCGGGACGAGUGUCCGCAAGGUGACAGCCGGGGCCUGACACUGGCGACAGCCUAUUUCUCUUUAGGAUGGCCUACAGGUGUGCCAUCAGCGGCAUGGUCGGGAGAGAGGGCGUUGAGGACAAUGCAACCUAAAGGUUUGCGGCGAGCGCCGGGUGGCCGUAGAUAUGCGACCCAGGUUGAGGACCCUACUGUUGACGACAUCGUUGCAGGUAUGAGUUAUUGAUGCAAAUGUAUGUUUUGCAUGAUGUGAAGUUGAUGCAUUGCAUGCAAUGGUUAUGUGGUUAAUUACUAUUGUCGUGCAUGAGCAUAGUGAAGACCGAGUUGACGGGUGAGUAUAGAUGCCCGGGCAUGCUCGUGUUGUGAGGGCGUAGAACCUGCCAGUAUAGGUAUAGAGCCAGAAGGCACUAGCGAAGUGCUAGUAGUGACCUUUGGCGAGAAGUGAAACUCGCGGUAGAGACAGAGGUGGCUAAUCGACUCUCAGAGCAACUUGAUUAGUAGAUCGCGAGAGUCGAGCCGUGGUAUUUGAGAACACCCAAGUGGUCCGAGUAUUUCGGAUGUCGUUCCGAUGGGUCUAACAGCGAAAGUGAUUCACUGUUGGCGGAACAGUUGGUUAGUAACCAAGUGCAAGCAUGUAGGCCUAGUAGUACAUCAAUGUGAGGUAGGAGGGUCGUGCUUGUGUAGUCGGCGUACGUAGGCAAGGAUUGCCUAACACUGGACUUAGUGUGCAACGCUAUGGAGGCGUAUGACGUUCGAGUAGAGUUACUCGUGGAGUGCGAACUGGGUUCAGCCGAGUGAGUGAGUUUGCAGUAGCACUUGAGCACUGCUAGGUGUGAAGCGUGCCAUGGAUCACUCGUGGGACAGGUGACUCGCAUUAGAUGCAUAGUAGCCGGUAGUGGUACGUGUGGCUCGGUAGAGCGUGUCGUGCGAUUGAUAGUACACCGAGAGUACGAGUGUGACCCAACCCGGGAAUCUGUAACGGUUUGGGAUCUUAGUUGCUCCUGGUUGGAGUGUGUGCGAAUUCCCAAGUGAGAAUUUCGCCCGAUCAUGAUUAGGUCUGCAUUCGCGAGCGAGAGACGCUGCGUAUUGAGACAGGUUUAGGCGGUAGGCCAAUGUAGGAUUGGUGGCCUUUGGUCCACCUGUGGAGACCGAAGAGAGCGAUUUGGCAGAUAGCCUUAUCGAGGAAUUUGACUCGAAUUCACGAACGAAGCGCUCGUGUGAGCUAGUUGCGGAAAUAGUUUGAUGUUAAUCGUGGCAUGUGGUAUCAGAUGAUGAAGUACUCCUUGUGAGACAUCAAACUAGUGGAAAGCCACGUGAUUGUGGAGACUAUGCCCGUGAACGAACUAAGACUUGAGAGGUGUCGAAGUGGGCCAUCUCACGUUGAAGUUAAGGGUUAGUGCGAAAUUAGAGCACUCACGACGGAGCGAUGCAUCGGUGAUAUUGCUUCUAAGCAAUGUCGGUGAUCGAGUCAGAAUGUAUUUCCUGAAGGGAAGGUAAGUGCAAAGAAGAGUUCUUUGUGUACCGAAUGACGAGUGGUGUUGGAGCGCGUAGAGUCGUCGAGUACCAACUUGCGCUGCCACUAUGACUUGCAAGACCGUGAUGCACUUCUGUAUCACACUUUGCAAAUGUGUUUAGGGUUAAACCCACGUCCUUCAGUAUGAGCCGCUUCUAGAACCACGAUUGUGUGAAGCCGCUUUAGAGUGGGAGAAUGAUUUGGUACCCUCAAUUGCUCAUGGAGCUGAAAUGAGGCGCGGUUUGAAUUUCGCGGACGAAAUUCUUUUAAGGGGUGGAGAAUGUAACAUACCAGAUUUUGGUGUAAAAAUAAAAAUAAAUAAAAAUAGUGUGAGAAACUAUUUUUAUUGGAUUUAGAGGAGUAAAAUAUAAGUCAGAAAUGACUUGUGCUGAAAUCGGAAUGAAAACAGAAGAUUUAGAAUUUUCUGUUGGAAACGGGAUAGAUAAAUUAACAGAAAAAUGCACAGUUUCAAAAAAUUAUGAAAAUUGGAGGAUAAGUCAGAAAUAUUUUUAUGAGACUAGAUUUAAAGUUUCAUAUUUUUCUGACACCCGUAGAGUGAGAAAUAAAAUCUGACAGCUAUCUGAUAAAGAUUACAGUUCGGUACAGUUUUCAGUGACCAAACGAGGUCGAAACUGAAAACUUAAGAUAUAUUCUUACUCAGUACGUUAAACCGAGCCUGCGUGUCAAAUUUGAGCCCAAAUGGACAUUCAGAAGGGCUCCAACUGUUCCGAACUGCUAAACUGCCCUGAGUGAAUAGUAUUUUGGGGUGUAAUGUAUAAAGAAGCUUUAGCUUCUUCUCCUUCAGCCGACCACCAUACACGCCACCACCAACCCGCAUACAUGGUAGGGAGAGAGAAAGCUUUCUCUCUCUCUAGAUUUCUCUCUCAUCUCUCCAUAUCUCUCGCUCAAAUUCGCGGCGUUGGCGGAGAAGAUGCUUGCGAACGCGUUGGGAGCGACGGAUCGAGUUUUCGUGCGCCCGUUGGAGCGGCGUGUUUUCGUCGCGGCGUUCACGUUUUGGUAAGAGUUUGGGAUUUUGUUUAAAUCCUUCAUGAAUGAUGUUCUAGUAGUAUCUAGAGUGUUCUAAACAUGUUAUCUCCAUUUAAUUUGGAUUAAUUGGAAGUUAAUUGCAUGUUAGGGCUCCGAAUGGGGUUUUGUAAAAUAUAAGGGUUUGAUCUAAUUUGACCCUCCGUAAACCUACUUGCUAGGUAAACGAACGCGUUGGCGAAGUCAGUUCGGCGAUUCGUCGAGCCGUUGCGAAGUUAUUAAAGAAACGGACGUUUAGGCUUCAUUUCCGCCUGGAGGCCCGAGGCGACAUCGUAUACUCAUGAAAACGGAUUUGAAGUAUCGUAGCACAUAACCGAAGACCUUUAAUUUUCGGAUCGUGAAUUGGAGGCCGUUCGGGUGGUCGCGCGAGAGAUCGGGCCAAACCGGGUGCCGGGUGUCGGGUGCCGCGGGAGGCCGAUUGCAAGUGUCGACAAGCAAUCGGAAUGCGAAAUGAGGUGGGUUGUGCUCACCGAAGCGACUAGGUCGCCUAUAUGUCUAAGAGUAAUUGUUUUCUAAUUGAUGCAUAUAGUUGAUGUUACUUACUGUUGAGAUAGAAUGCAUAAUGACAUAUAAUGUGUUAAAUGCUAGAUGAAUGCAUGAGUUAAUUGUCACAUGAAUAAAUAAUGUUAUAGUAAUAUGUUAGAGGUAAUAUGCAUGUUGAUAAAUUAUGGAACAUGUUGGAUGGCAUAUGAAUGGUUGGNNN